UACAGGGGGGGCAAGCGUUGUUCGGAAUUACUGGGCGUAAAGGGUUCGUAGGUGGCUUACUAAGUCAGACGUGAAAUCCCUCAGCUUAACUGGGGAACUGCGUCUGAUACUGGAAAGCUUGAGUGCAGGAGAGGAACGCGGAAUUCCAGGUGUAGCGGUGAAAUGCGUAGAUAUCGGAAGGAACACCAGUGGCGAAGGCGGCUUCCUGGACUAAUACUGACGCUGAGGUGCGAAAGCGUGGGGAGCAAACAGG
rnacentral:rRNA from 1 species